rnacentral:rRNA from 1 species
GACGAACGCUGGCGGCGUGCUUAACACAUGCAAGUCGAACGGAAAGGCCCUGCUUUUGUGGGGUGCUCGAUUGGCGAACGGGUGAGUAACACGUGAGUAACCUGCCCUUGACUUUGGGAUAACUUCAGGAAACUGGGGCUAAUACCGGAUAGGAGCUCCUGCUGCAUGUUGGGGGUUGGAAAGUUUCGGCGGUUGUGGAUGGACUCGCGGCUUAUCAGCUUGUUGGUGGGGUAGUGGCGUACCAAGGCUUUGACGGGUAGCCGGCCUGAGAGGGUGAACGGCGACAUUGGGACUGAGAUACGGCCCAGAAUCCUACGGGAGGCAGCAGUGGGGAAUAUUACACAAUGGGCGGAAGCCUGAUGCAGCAACGCCGCGUGCGGGAUGCCGGCCUUCGGGUUGUAAACCGCUUUCGCCUGUGACGAAGCGUGAGUGACGGUAAUGGGUAAAGAAGCACCGGCUAACUACGUG